rnacentral:rRNA from 1 species
AUUGAACGCUGGCGGCAGGCUUAACACAUGCAAGUCGAGCGAGAGGCGGACGGGUGAGUAAUGUCUGGGAAACUGCCUGAUGGAGGGGGAUAACUACUGGAAACGGUAGCUCAUACCGCAUACCAUCAGAUGUGCCCAGAUGGGAUUAGCUAGUAGGUGGGGUAAUGGCUCACCUAGGCGACGAUCCCUAGCGGGUCUGAGAGGCUGCCCAGCCACACUGGAAUUGAGACAACGUCCAGACUCCUACGGGAGGCAGCAGUGGGGAAUAUUGCACAAUGGUCGCAAUCCUGAUGCAGCCAUGCCGCGUGUUUGAAGCAGGCCUUCGGGUUUUAAAGCACUUUCAGCGAGGAGGCGUUAUUCGCAGAAGAAGCACCGGCUAACUCCGUGCCAGCAGCCGCGGUAAUAC